rnacentral:lncRNA from 1 species
GCCUCUUUCUUCAGGCUUAAAUGUCCCUUAAGUGGACUAUCUACUGUUACUGUUUAUGUAACCCUCCGUUCAAGUAACACGAUGUAUUUUCAAAACAAUGAAAAAACACAACAUAAACUAUCAGGGGGAAAGGUUAGGCUCAGAAAUGUCUCACAAAGCAUUAGCCAGGGGAAAACUGCAGGGAUCUCAGAGCUUUGCUAAUACCUUUGGAGACAGGAGAAUUCUUCUCUUAAGGAGACAGAAGGAAUUUAAGAUCUGGACACUGUUAAACCAUUAAUUCCCUUACAAGCUCAAGCAGGAGGCCUGAGUACCGGGAAAGGCCGUGUCUGGGGAGGGUGGGCAAAGCCUUCUGGAGCCUUCCAGGGUGGGCUUCCAGGGAUCGGGCGGCUUAUGGAAACCCCCAAAUAGGUCACUACUCAGAUGGGAGAGUGCCAUCUGUGCCCUUCUAAGUCAUUUGUCUUCAACAAGUAAGUCAGUGUGGCAACCUUGGCCGCACAUUGGAACCAGCUGAGGAGAUUUUGAGGCAUGGAGGCCUCGGUCCCACCCGCUGAGGCCCAGAAGAAAUUGAGUUUCAAAAGCUCGCCAGGUGAUUCUAAUGUGCAAUCAGGGUGGAGACCCACGGAACGAACUACCUCCGGCCGCCCCCACGUGAGCCAAAGGUUCCAGGACUCUGGGCUGGGGCGAGGCCGCCAAACACUGGGGCCUCGAGCAGCCUCUCGGGCCUCAGUUUCUUUAUCUGCACAAUGGGUGACGGCUAGGACUGCCGGGGUCCCUCCGGCUGGAAGAGUUCUCUUCUGGGACGCAGAUCUGCGCCUCCGAGAUCCUCUAAGCCCGCUUCCCUCGGUCCCCAUUCCCCCCGCUGGCUUUUCCGGUUUCCUCGCCCCUCGGAGCUCGCCCUGGGGGUCCCAGAGGAAGCUGCGCGCUUCGCCGCCACCCCGGCGCGCGCGCUGCCCGGUUGGGGCCCCGGCUGCGGGCGCACAAAGCCCCCGGCGCUGACGUCAGGGGCCCCUCUCGGCGCGGCCGGCCCCCAGUGCAGGCGGAG